rnacentral:sRNA from 1 species
UUUUCCCUCAAUUUUCCAAAAUCUAAAUUUUACAAAUUCCAUUCAAAAUUUAUGAAUAAUCUUAGUAACUACUCUGAGUUCUCUCAAAGCAUGAACCCUAUAACGGUUUCUUCUCCUUUCUUCUCCAGAGAUUGCCACACCUUCUCUAGAGAUAUAUGAAGGCUUCUGAGCUCACUAACUGAUAUACAAAGCCCUAGUCUAACUUCCUCUUGCUCACUCUUAGUUCAGCCCCUCCCGUUGCUUCCACUCUCGUUCACUCUUAGCUUAGUCCGUCAUUCACUGUUGUUGGCUUCACCCAUCUUGCCUGAGUCCCUUCUUACCAUUACUCUCCGUCGCCGAUAGUCCAUGCCACCGUCUCGCCGUGAGUCCCUUUCGUAAUCACUCUGGCUCUCAUUCGCUCUCGCUAUUACUGCUUGUGUCCAUCAGUCCCCCUCGGCGUCACUCCCUCUAGAGUUGGCAUUGUAAGUCACGGUCACAGGGUUGCUUCAUCUGGUAAUAGCUUCUCUCAUAGUUCAUUCAUAAAACCCUAAAAUUGGAAGAUCGGAAAACCCUAAUUUAAGGUAUGUUUCGGUGAAAUUUUUUUUUCUCAUUAUGUUUUUGUUGGAGUUUUUUUAAGACUGUGGAAAAUAGGGUAAUGUGAGUACUUGAAGGCUAUGCUCUCUGUUUAAUUAGUAUACAUUAGAUUGAAAGUUUUAUAGGGAUAGUAGACCCUGAAAAAAGGAUUCUCGAUCUUGUUAAUGAAGAUGAUGAUUCUAUUCAAAAGCAUGUAUUUUAAUUCGAAAUAGUUAUUACCAUUGCUGAAGUUUGAAUGAAAGAGAUACCCUUCCUCUACUUCCUUUUUCCCAGCGCAGAGUGGACUCUCAGAAACAAAUGCCGCACUGGAAUUUGCGGUGAACUCCCUUCUAGUAAGCAUUUUUUUUUUACUUAAAAAGUGUAAGGCAAGAUUUAUCCUCAUCAUUUGAAACUUUUAAUGUGUUUGUUACUUUUUCUAUCAUCUAUUUAAUUAUACUUGGGACUGCACAUUCUUUGAGUUUAAUGAUCUAAAAAACAAAGUAUGUUUCUUCAAGCUUCGUUCUUUUAUGGAUUUCUUUGAAUUUCUUUUGGAGUAAUGAGAGGGUGACAUUUACAUUCAUUUGAUACAAUAUUGGUCAUAUAAAAGAACUUUGAUUUGGUGAAAUUAUGGCAUCAAAAUGGGAUUGUUGUAAUUACUUCAUGGCCCCUCUUCAUCUCCAUUUAUUAAGUGUAAGCAUUUCACUUUCACACUUUGGAUUUUCUUCAUCUUCUUUCUUUAAUAAAUUAAGGAUUAUGGAAUCAUGGAUCAUUCUUCUCUUGUCAGUUAAAUUUAUCAUUCUUCUAUUUGUCAAUUCUCUAUUUGAUUCUUCUUAAAAGUUAAGUUUAAAUGGUUGUGUUUUAUAUAUAAUCUGUAAUUCUAUUUUGUUCUGUUAAGAGUUUCAAAGAGGUAAUGUACAAGUUAUGCUUUUGAAAUUUGAAUAUAGCUGAAACAUGUUAAAAAUCCCAUAUUUAAGAUAUCUCAAAGUUGUCAUGAGAUUCAAUGUAAGGGAAGAAAUGGGAAGAAACACAAAUGUUUGCAUUGUGACAUGGAUUGUAUGAUCCUAGUAGAAGUAUGAAAUAUGUGUGAAGAACUUUCUUUAAAUCACUACCAGUACUUAGGCAUUCAAAUAAUGAUUGAUGUUCUCACUUUCCAUAUGGUUUCAUUGUUUAGAUAAAAUUUGUACAACUUAUAAUCAAAUGAGUAAUCAAACAUAUUAUUAUUAUUAUAUUACACAUGAUGGGUAAUUCUAAAUGUUUAGGUAUCAUUCAUGAUAUAUAUGUAGGCAUGGAAUGUUUCCACUUUUGAGUGCUUGGGUAGAUGGUCCUGAAUCUGUAACUCAGUGUCCAAUACGUCCUGGUGAAAGGUAUACCUAUAGAUAUAAUAUAACACGACAAGAAGGUACCCUUUGGUGGCAUUCACACUCUUUUUUUCUACGAUCAACUAUUUAUGGGACUCUCAUCAUUCGCCCUUGAAAAGGAAACACCCUUUUCCUUCAUUUUACCAAGAUGUCCCCCUAUUGAUUGAUGUAUACUACAAGAAAUAUUGGAAUUAUAUAUGGACUAUUAUAUAGUCAUGUCGGUAUCCAGGUGGAAGAUAAUAUAUCUAUUCUAUGCUUAGAUUUAUGAUGAAUGCGGUUUGAGAUUGCAGAGAGCUGGUGGAGAAUUUGAAUGCAUCAAAUGGUCAAGUAAAUUUCUUUUUGGUAAUAUUUUACAUUCCAACAUUUUAUAUGUACCAAUAUUUUACCCUCCACUUAAUACUUUUUUAUAUAUCAGCUUUUCUCAGCUUUGCAAUUAAUAUUAUCUACACAUUUAUAUUGUAAUUAGUUUAUUAAUUUGAUUUAUGUUACUGGUUUGAUUUUGAACCCAGUAAGUUAUACAUAUUAUACUAUUUGCCAAAGAAAUUAAUUUUAAUGUUUGAAUACUAAAUUAGAAAUUAAUGUGAUUAAAUAAUUGAUUAAUUAUUGAUCAAAUGUUAUUACAUUAUUUGUUAGCUCUAAAAAUAUAAAUAAUGUGAAGAUGCAAUAUUAGAAAAUAUUUUAGUUAUGACAAAAGCUUUGGACUUAGUCAAAGUUGUUUUGAUUUUGAUUAUGGUGAAGAAAGUCCGUAUAGUUUGAUUGUCUAUGUAGACCUACAUAAUUAUCAUACUAUAAUAUUACGGUGGAAAAGGACGAUUCAACGACUGAAUCGGUGAAACAGUGUCAAGAUUGUUGGACUCGUGAAAGCUUAAACCGUA